rnacentral:rRNA from 1 species
CAUCCUCCAAGGCUAAAUACUCCUGACUGACCGAUAGUGAACCAGUACCGUGAGGGAAAGGCGAAAAGAACCCCGGCGAGGGGAGUGAAAAAGAACCUGAAACCGUGUACGUACAAGCAGUGGGAGCCCCACCACUAAGCCAGUGGUGAACUCCACAUACGCAUCCUUUGCUGAGGAUACGGUUAACGGAGCGAAAGCGACGUUCAACCUCAAAAGAAGCAGAGGGGGCUUAGUGGUGGGGUGACUGCGUACCUUUUGUAUAAUGGGUCAGCGACUUAUAUUCUGUAGCAAGGUUAACCGAAUAGGGGAGCCGGAGGGAAACCGAGUCUUAAUUGGGCGUUAAGUUGCAGGGUAUAGACCCGAAACCCGGUGAUCUAGCCAUGGGCAGGUUGAAGGUUGGGUAACACUAACUGGAGGACCGAACCGACUAAUGUUGAAAAAUUAGCGGAUGACCUGUGGCUGGGGGUGAAAGGCCAAUCAAACCGGGAGAUAGCUGGUUCUCCCCGAAAGCUAUUUAGGUAGCGCCUCGUGAAUUCAUCUCCGGGGGUAGAGCACUGUUUCGGCUAGGGGGCCAUCCCGGCUUACCAACCCGAUGCAAACUGCGAAUACCGGAGAAUGUUAUCACGGGAGACACACGGCGGGUGCUAACGUCCGUCGUGAAGAGGGAAACAACCCAGACCGCCAGCUAAGGUCCCAAAGUCAUGGUUAAGUGGGAAACGAUGUGGGAAGGCCCAGACAGCCAGGAUGUUGGCUUAGAAGCAGCCAUCAUUUAAAGAAAGCGUAAUAGCUCACUGGUCGAGUCGGCCUGCGCGGAAGAUGUAACGGGGCUAAACCAUGCACCGAAGCUGCGGCAGCGACACUGGUGUUGUUGGGUAGGGGAGCGUUCUGUAAGCCUGUGAAGGUGGCCUGUGAGGGUUGCUGGAGGUAUCAGAAGUGCGAAUGCUGACAUAAGUAACGAUAAAGCGGGUGAAAACCCCGCUCGCCGGAAGACCAAGGGUUCCUGUCCAACGUUAAUCGGGGCAGGGUGAGUCGACCCCUAAGGC